GACUAAUUUUUUUGGUAAACUUUUCAAUAAAAUCUCCAUCAAUUUCUCCUUCUCAGGGUUUUUCAAAAAGCUAGUGCUAAUCUUAAGCACUAGCGCUAUGCUAAUAGACCCUUGGGAAUCAUCUUAUUGGUGCUUAAAUACUAGAUUAUUUCUCCUGUAUGUGACUAACUGUGUUGUCUUUGGUAUCUUAGAUUGAACUAAGCUUAUGAAUGGUUCUUUAAGUUUCCUGUUGUAUGAACAACACUGAAUCAAUGGAGACUUUGACAUCUUUGCUAAGUAGA